GACACUGGACUUAGAAAGACUGCAGAGGGG
rnacentral:piRNA from 1 species